AAUGUCCUACAGGGCAUUGCACAUUUGCUGUAAGGUCUUAAGAGCUGUAAUUUGGCAUGACUCAUUGUCUCUGUAUGAAAGAAACACGAGGGCAGCAUAACUAGCGUUGUGUCUUUGGACUGAAUAAGGUUUUAGAAUUUCAUGAAGGAGAUCACUGAGUAUAUUUCAAGGGUCAAUUUCUUGAGAGUUUUGCUGCCCCUAUGCAACUAUUCAUUCAUUUAAUCAUUUAUUCAUCCAUUCAAUGAAUAUCAUGGAGUGCCUUUUAAAGGACAAGUGCUUCGGAAGAACUGGGGAUAUGUAUAUAUAGAUUGUUUCUGCCACCAAAGAACACCUAAAGUAUUAAAGAGUAUAGUUUAAGUAAGAUUCAAUUAAUAUCCCAUGAAAUACAUAAAAUGGAUACCAUGGGAGCAAUAAAAGAAGGCAUUUAGCCCAGGCUUGGGAGACAGGCUGAUCAGAAGCUGCUGGAGGAAUUGACAUGUGAAAACUGUAUCUUAUUAAAGGAUGCAGAUAAAGUCACUGAAAAGUUAUCCAGGCAGAGAAGAUGACAUACAAAUGCAAGAGGUUUAAAAACAAAGCAAAACAAAACAAUAUGUGUUAUUUGUGAGCCGUACCACAUGUUUGGUGAUGUUGGAGAGCAAUGUGCAAGGCAAGAAAUGUUGCAGAGCAAGUUCGGGGGUAGAAAGAUUCUAGAAUGUGGAGGGUCAUGUGGACUCUAUUAUAUAAUUUAGAAUUUAUUCUAUAGAUUAUAUAGACCCAUGAGAGCACUAUUUGUUUAGGUAGAUUACUUUAGGGCUUUGAAAGGGAUGAGACUAGAGGUGCAGAGAAACUAUUUAGUAUCGUGAUGAUGUAAUCUGGGGAAAAAAUGAUACAGGCAUAAUUACCACUGGGCUAUGGCCGUAAUUUGGGAGUGAAUAAGAAAAUUGAGCCUAAAUUUGCAGUUUCAAAAGAAUAGAGAUUAAAGGCAGAAUAAAUAGGGGGAUUUCAACAUAUAGUGAAGUAAGGGUUUAAGUAGAGGGCACAGAAAGAAGAGCCCAUAAAGAUGACAAAAAAAAAAUGAUGAGAAAAACACUCCAACAAUUAAGAGAGUGUUAUAAAAUCUAAGGAACAAGGAACUAACAAAGUUCUAAUGAUGUGGUAAAAAUAAGAAAGAUAGCUUUAACUAUUAGAUUAUCCAUCAAUAACUUUGGAAAAACAGUUUCGGUGGAAUACUAUGGGUAGAAUACAAAUUUCUGUGGGUAGUGUAGUGGAUAGAAUUGGGAGUUGAAGACAUGGAGAUGCAGUAUUGAUAGUUGUGUCCCUGAGAGCACGUAGCCUGGACGCUGGAUGUCCUGGAUCCUCAGCUUGCCACUGGCCAUGGCCAAUGUUGUAGUGAGAUAUAUUAAAAAGCAGCCAAAUGGUUACGCAUUAUUAUUGGCUAAAACUUUUACCCCAAACUCCAAUGUAUUCAUCUACUGAAAUAAACCAAAUUGAUGAUGCAACUCCUCAAACGCAGACCUGCCUGUAAAAAGAGUUGGGUCAGUGAAUUGUGGUGAGAAAGUGGGUAUUAACUUCAGGAGUUGCACCUGUGAUGAAAGAAUAAGUGUGGAAUAAAGUCAUAUAUCAACACAUUAAGUCCAAGUGUGGAAUAAAGUUAUAUAUCAACAGAUUAAGACCAAGCAGGUGGGCUUUCUUUUUGUGGAAGGUGGGUUAGGAAUGUUUAUUUUUUAAAUGUAGUGUUUUCUAAGCUAUUUACAAAUGUUAACUAUUUAAGCGUUUUUUUUUAAUUUAAUUUGAUGAGGUAGAAAUUAUUGUUGUAGACGAGUAAAUAGAAACACAGAAAGAGUAAGUAAAUU
rnacentral:lncRNA from 10 species